UACAGAGACCUCAAGCGUUAUCCGGAUUUAUUGGGCGUAAAGCGUCCGCAGGUGGUUUGGCGGGUCAGGGGUCAAAACUCAGAGCUUAACUCUGAGAUCGCUCUUGAAACUACCAAACUCGAGUAUGGAAGAGGUGAGCGGAAUUCUCGGUGUAGUCGUAAUAAGCGUUGAUAUCGAGAAGAACACCAAAUGCGAAGGCAGCUCACUGGUACAUUACUGACACUCAGGGACGAAAGCGUGGGGAGCAAACAGG
rnacentral:rRNA from 1 species